rnacentral:rRNA from 1 species
GACGAACGCUGGCGGCGUGCCUAAUACAUGCAAGUCGAGCGCAGGAAACUGACGGAACUCUUCGGAGGGAAGGCAGCGGAAUGAGCGGCGGACGGGUGAGUAACACGUAAGGAACCUGCCUCAAGGAUUGGGAUAACUCCGAGAAAUCGGAGCUAAUACCGGAUAGUUCAUCGGACCGCAUGGUCCGUUGAUGAAAGGCGCUCCGGCGUCACCUUGAGAUGGCCUUGCGGUGCAUUAGCUAGUUGGUGGGGUAACGGCCCACCAAGGCGACGAUGCAUAGCCGACCUGAGAGGGUGAUCGGCCACACUGGGACUGAGACACGGCCCAGACUCCUACGGGAGGCAGCAGUAGGGAAUCUUCCACAAUGGACGAAAGUCUGAUGGAGCAACGCCGCGUGAGUGAUGAAGGUUUUCGGAUCGUAAAACUCUGUUGUAAGGGAAGAACACGUACGAGAGGGAAUGCUCGUACCUUGACGGUACCUUACGAGAAAGCCACGGCUAACUACGUGCCAGCAGCCGCCGCCGUAA